rnacentral:lncRNA from 1 species
CUUGCCCUUCAUAUUUGCCAGCAGUUUCCUCAGCCUUUUCUCCUGGCUUCUCUCUUCCCAGCCUAUGACACCAUCAGCCAGAAUUUUGGGACCUGCCAAUCACUUUCCAGCCCAAAGGACCUGACUCAGCUCUUUGGGUUUGCCCGGAAUGCAUUUACUGUUCUCGCCAUGAUGGAUUACCCGUACCCUACUAACUUUCUAGGGCCCCUUCCUGCCAACCCUGUCAAGGUGGGCUGUGAACGGUUGUUGAGUGAGGGCCAGAGGAUCAUGGGUCUACGGGCACUGGCAGGUGAGUCUACUCCUUGGUCUUAAUGGGGCAAGGGUAGUGACUCUAACAGUGACACAGGGCUGAGUAGGGAAAGGACCCAUAUCCCUGACCUGGGCUUAGUCUGGUAGGCUAUUUGAAAUGUAGUAGGGGACCCAGUACAGCUUUUGAAAAGACAGGACCUGUGUCUUGGGAACCGGGCAUAAGCUGAAGAGGGUAACAUGACUUCCUAGUCAUCCUAAGAACAUGCAUAGCUACCCGAGGGUUGCUAUGGGACCUUUGCAGUCCCUCGCCACAAGGCUCUACAUGCCUGCCCUGCCCUGUUGUGAGGCAGGGUACUUGGCAUUAAGAUUGUGUCCCUGGGGGCUGGGGAUUUAGCUCAGUGGUAGAGCGCUUACCUAGGAAGCGCAAGGCCCUGGGUUCGGUCCCCAGCUCCGAAAAAAAGAACCAAAAAAA